AACGAACGCUGGCGGCGCGUCUUACACAUGCAAGUCGAACGGCAGGAAGGGGCUUGCCCCUUCUGAGAGUGGCGGACUGGUGAGUAACACGUGGGUGACAUACCUUUUAGUUGGGGAUAGCUAUUAGAAAUAGUAGGUAAUACCGAAUAUGACCGUACCUGUUAGAGGGGUACGAGGAAAGGAGCUAAGGCUUCGCUAAAAGAAUGGCUCGCGGCCCAUUAUGCUCGUUGGUGAGGUAACGGCCCACCAAGGCGAUGAUGGGUAUCCGGCCUGAGAGGGUGAACGGACACAUUGGGACUGAGAUACGGCCCAGACUUCUACGGGAGGCAGCAGUUAAGAAUAUUCCGCAAAGGACGAAAGUCUGACGGAGCGACGCCGCGUGGAUGAAGAAUGCCGAAAGGUUGUAAAAUCCUUUUAAGCCUGAUGAAUAAGCACAGUAGGGAAUGAUUGUGCGGUGACCGUAGGGCUUGAAUAAGCACCGGCUAAUUACGUG
rnacentral:rRNA from 1 species